rnacentral:misc_RNA from 1 species
GCUGGUAGUCUAACGACCAACUAUUCAACCUUGGAUAACACCCUUGGCUUCCCCUUCCAUCUGGUCAUACAAUUCACGUUCUUCACCAGAAAGUUCAAUGUAGUGUGUCUCUACAGUUUUAGACGGCAAUCCAACCAAACCCUUGUCCUUUGUUCUCCGCAAAGAUAUUGUUGCCAUUAAAACCUGCAGUCGCGAGAGCCCCUUCUUAUCCCCCUGAGCAAGGGGCCGUUGAACCAGGCUUUGCCAAUAGUUCUUGAUGGAAAAUGGCUCAAACCGCAAAAAUGCCAUCAAGGAAAACAAAUCAAAGGAUCCAUUCUGUAUGGGUGUUCCUGUAACAACCCAUCUCCGCUUAGCCUUCAAAUUAGUAACUGCUCGACUUUGUUGUGCAUUUGCAUUCUUAAUGACAUGUGCCUCAUCCAAAAUGACUCUCCACCACUCAAUCAUCUUCACAGGGGAGUCUUCCCAAGAGCCUUCACUAGCCAAAGUACUAUAUGUUGUCAACACUAUAUCUUGCUUCUUAAGCUCCUCAGCUUCUCUAGUCCUUUCACCAUAAUACAUGUAUACCUUGAAUGAUCCACGUUGAGUAUGCUCUUCUAGCUGCGUUACCCAUGAUGAAAAUACAGCGGGAGGGCACACAAUUAAAGUCGUCUUUGCACCUAAAAUACUAAAAGACUUAUCAGUUCCACCCACAGACUUCCCUUUUGCAUUGAUAUCCAAAUGGGCGCCUUCCGUUUUAUGCUUUUUUCGUCCUCGAGUCCCCUUUGCACUCACCCUACGCCUCUUACCCUUCUUAUCGCUAAAAACAGUGGAUCCCUCAUCUAACUCACAUGUUCCUUCUCCAAUAUUGUCUCUAUCAAGGGUGGCACUAUUAUCAGCUCUAUCAAAAGCAAUCAAAGAGAGCAAAGUUAAAGUCUUGCCCAAUCCCAUGUCAUCUGCAAGAAUCCCACCACGCAAUGGCUCUGGCCUCUUAUCUGUAUGAUAAUUGGUCAAAACAUUUACAUAUUCCCCAUCUUUCUCCUCCCAAAAGGGUGGUAAUUCGCCAGAAUUCUCUCUAUUCAUAAGCCACCAUAAUCCCUCCUUUUGGUGAACAAAGAGCUCAGACUUAAUCAUCUCCUUGGGUGGCUCCAAAGUCCCAAUUUUUCCUUUCUUAUUCACAUUGUCAUCUACUAGCUUAAAUAUUUCGUCCACACUUUUAGAAUCACUUUUUUUGCACUUCUCUUUAACCACCAUAGCCUCUGAUAACCCAAAACUCGCAUCCGUUUCCGAAAUCAAAACCAAACCACCACGGAAAAUGGCGGAUUUUACGACCUCAAUAUCCUCAAACCUAGCAAAAAUAUGAAUUUGACAAGGAAUCCUAAACUUAUUACCACUACUACGCGAAUUGGCG